UAAUACCCAGGAGCGGGAAGGGGUGAACUUCGGGGUAAAGUAUAGUUGUGCCGCAGGGCUUCUACUUGGCACUUUACACCGGAAGAGCGCGGUGAGGGUCGGGAAUCCGCGCUGAAACCAAGAUGCUCAAGUCCAAGACUUUCUUAAAAAAGACGCGGGCGGGCGGCGUGAUGAAGAUCGUGCGCGAGCAUUACCUGCGGGACGACAUCGGCUGCGGCGCGCCCGGGUGCGCGGCGUGCGACGGUGCGCACGAGGGGCCGGUCCUCGAGCCGCAGCCCCUGGAUCCGGCGAGCAGCCUGUGCCCCCGGCCGCACUACUUGCUUCCCGACACCAACGUGCUGUUGCACCAGAUCGAUGUUCUUGAGGACCCGGCCAUCAGGAAUGUGAUUGUACUACAAACUGUUCUGCAAGAAGUGAGAAAUCGGAGUGCUCCGGUAUAUAAACGAAUCAGAGAUGUGACUAAUAACCAGGAGAAGCAUUUCUACACGUUUACUAAUGAGCACCAUAGAGAAACUUAUGUUGAACAAGAACAGGGAGAAAAUGCUAAUGACAGGAAUGAUAGAGCCAUUCGAGUAGCAGCAAAAUGGUACAAUGAACAUUUGAAGAAAAUGUCAGCAGAAAAUCAUCUACAAGUUAUCUUCAUAACGAAUGACAAGAAAAACAAAGAAAAAGCCAUAGAAGAAGGAAUACCUGCUUUCACUUGUGAAGAGUAUGUAAAGAGCCUAACUGCUAACCCGGAACUCAUAGAUCGUCUUGCUUGUUUGUCUGAAGAAGGGAAUGAAAUAGAAAGUGGAAGAAUAAUAUUUUCAGAGCAUCUUCCUUUAAGUAAGCUACAACAAGGCAUAAAAUCUGGUACAUACCUUCAAGGAACAUUUAGAGCAAGCAGGGAAAAUUACUUAGAAGCUACAGUAUGGGUUCAUGGAGACACUGAAGAAGAUAAAGAGAUAAUCUUACAGGGACUUAAAAAUUUAAACCGAGCUGUUCAUGAAGAUAUCGUGGCUGUAGAACUUCUCCCCAGGAAUCAGUGGGUGGCACCAUCUUCUGUAGUUUUACACGAUGAAGGUCAAAAUGAAGAUGAUGUGGAAAAAGAAGAGGAGAGAGAACGCAUUCUUAACACUGCUGCAAAUGAAAAAAUGUUAAAGCCCACAGGUAGAGUUGUAGGAAUAAUAAAAAGAAAUUGGAGACCGUAUUGUGGCAUGCUUUCCAAGUCUGAUAUUAAAGAGUCAAGAAGACAUCUCUUUACCCCUGCUGAUAGGAGAAUCCCUAGAAUUCGAAUAGAAACCAGACAGGCUUCUGCAUUAGAAGGACGGAGGAUUAUUGUUGCUAUUGAUGGUUGGCCCAGAAAUUCCAGAUAUCCAAACGGACACUUUGUAAAAAACUUAGGAGAUGUUGGUGAUAAAGAGACUGAAACAGAAGUUUUGUUGCUUGAACACGACGUUCCCCAUCAGCCUUUUUCACAGGCUGUUCUUAGCUUUCUACCAAAGAUGCCCUGGAGCAUUACUGAAAAGGAUAUGAAAAACCGAGAAGACCUGAGACAUCUGUGUGUUUGUAGUGUGGACCCUCCAGGAUGCACUGAUAUAGAUGAUGCUCUACAUUGUAGAGAACUGGAAAAUGGAAAUUUGGAGGUUGGUGUUCAUAUUGCAGAUGUUAGCCAUUUUAUUAGGCCAGGAAAUGCUUUGGAUCAAGAGUCAGCCAGACGGGGAACAACUGUGUAUCUUUGUGAAAAGAGGAUUGACAUGGUUCCAGAGUUGCUUAGCUCUAAUUUAUGUUCCUUAAGAUGUAACGUUGACAGGUUGGCAUUUUCUUGUAUUUGGGAAAUGAAUCACAAUGCCGAAAUCUUAAAAGUGAGGUUUACCAAAAGUGCCAUUAAUUCAAAGGCUUCCCUUACAUAUGCUGAAGCUCAGAUGAGAAUUGAUUCUGCAGCCAUGAAUGAUGAUAUUACCACUAGUCUCCGUGGACUAAAUAAACUAGCUAAAAUUUUGAAAAAAAGAAGAAUCGAAAAAGGGGCUCUGACUCUUUCUUCUCCGGAAGUUCGAUUCCACAUGGACAGUGAAACUCACGAUCCUAUAGAUCUGCAGACCAAGGAACUUAGGGAAACAAACUCCAUGGUGGAAGAAUUUAUGUUACUGGCCAAUAUCUCUGUUGCAAAAAAAAUUCAUGAAGAAUUCUCAGAACAUGCCCUGCUUCGAAAACACCCAGCGCCUCCUCCAUCAAAUUAUGAAAUUCUUGUUAAGGCAGCUAAAUCCAAGAAUUUGGAAAUUAAAACUGAUACAGCCAAGUCCUUGGCUGACUCUUUGGACCGGGCGGAUUCUCCGACUUUCCCCUAUCUCAACACUCUCUUAAGGAUCUUAGCCACUCGCUGUAUGAUGCAGGCUGUGUACUUCUGCUCUGGAAUGGAUAAUGAUUUUCAUCACUAUGGCUUAGCAUCGCCGAUAUACACACAUUUCACUUCACCCAUCAGAAGAUAUGCAGACAUCAUCGUCCAUCGGUUGCUGGCUGUGGCUAUUGGGGCUGACUGUACUUACCCAGAGUUGACAGACAAACACAAGCUUGCAGAUUUAUGUAAAAAUCUCAAUUUCCGGCACAAAAUGGCUCAGUAUGCCCAGCGUGCAUCAGUGGCUUUUCAUACCCAGUUGUUUUUCAAAAGCAAAGGAAUAGUAAGUGAAGAAGCCUAUAUUCUAUUUGUAAGAAAGAAUGCUAUUGUGGUGUUAAUUCCAAAGUAUGGUUUAGAAGGUACAGUCUUUUUUGAAGAAAAGGACAAACCAAAGCCAAGGCUUAUUUAUGAUGAUGAGAUACCUUCCCUUAAAAUAGAGGAUACAGUGUUCCAUAUAUUUGACAAAGUUAAAGUGAAAAUCAUGCUAGACUCAUCUAACCUUCAGCAUCAGAAAAUCCGAAUGUCCCUGGUAGAACCACAGAUACCUGGAGUAAGCAUUUCUGCUGAUACUCCAAACAUGGACAUUGAUGAACCAGAGAGAAAGAAGAAGAAACGUGAGAAAUAACUACAGUCAACAAAAAAACUUCAAAGACUGGUUUCCUUAACAAAACAAAACAAACAAAAAACCUUGAGAGAAUACUUUUAAACCUAGGAAGUAUUGAACUAUUUAUGCAUAAAAAUUCAAUUGAAUAUCCAUCAUUUAAAUAGUGACAAGAUAGCAACCUCAGGGAUCUGUAAAGACCAUUUAAAUGGAGUAUUCAUUCAUCUGCUCACUAAAGAACAGAUUAAUUUUAUGUAAGUAAUUUGAUUAUUUAAUAUUGAUAGAAAAAUAGCAUUUUCCUAUGGAGGAAAAUAGAACAUUUUUAGAAGUCAGGAACAAUCUGUCCUUUCUAAACCUUGAAAGCUGUCCCAUGUUUGGUAUGGUAGUUUUUAGAUUUCAAGACAAUGAUAUCAAGAUUUGUCAAGGAAUUCAGUCCUUUGCCAUCUUUAAUUCACCUAAUUUAUAUGAAGUGUUCUCUUACUGUUAAAAGCUUCCUGCAUUUUUAUUAGUGGUCCUUGAACAGCUGUGUUUGGGAAUUGAAUGUUGUAGGAAGGCAAUAGGGAGGAUGUUUGAAGCUGACUAGAAUGAGUUUCUUUUAAUACCAGAUAAUAAGUAUGAUUAUCAUCCUUGACCUUUAGCUCACAUCUCCCCCAAAAUGAGGCAUUAGGGCUCAAAGAGCAAAUGGAGAUGGCACUUUAAACAUCUGCAUCAUGUUAUUUAUAAAAAGUAGGUCAUGAAUGGCUUUUAAACUGUGUAUGUAUCAGGUUCCAUAGGAAAGGGGGGAUUGUGUAAGGACAUAUUAAAGGGAACAGAUUGAAGUGAA